rnacentral:rRNA from 1 species
CCUAGGGAGGCAGCAGUGGGGAAUAUUGGACAAUGGGGGGAACCCUGAUCCAGCCAUGCCGCGUGUGUGAAGAAGGCCCUCGGGUUGUAAAGCACUUUCAGUGAGGAAGAACGCCUGGUGGUUAAUACCCAUCAGGAAAGACAUCACUCACAGAAGAAGCACCGGCUAACUCCGUGCCAGCAGCCGCGGUAAUACGGAGGGUGCGAGAGUUAAUCGGAAUUACUGGGCGUAAAGCGCGCGUAGGUGGCUUGAUAAGCCGGUUGUGAAAGCCCCGGGCUCAACCUGGGAACGGCAUCCGGAACUGUCAAGCUAGAGUGCAGGAGAGGAAGGUAGAAUUCCCGGUGUAGCGGUGAAAUGCGUAGAGAUCGGGAGGAAUACCAGUGGCGAAGGCGGCCUUCUGGACUGACACUGACACUGAGGUGCGAAAGCGUGGGUAGCAAACAGGAUUAGAUACCCUUGUAGUC